rnacentral:rRNA from 1 species
CCUACGGGAGGCAGCAGUGAGGAAUAUUGGUCAAUGGACGAGAGUCUGAACCAGCCAAGUAGCGUGAAGGAUGACUGCCCUAUGGGUUGUAAACUUCUUUUAUAAAGGAAUAAAACGAGGCACGUGUGCCUUUUUGCAUGUACUUUAUGAAUAAGGAUCGGCUAACUCCGUGCCAGCAGCCGCGGUAAUACGGAGGAUCCGAGCGUUAUCCGGAUUUAUUGGGUUUAAAGGGAGCGUAGAUGGGUUGUUAAGUCAGUUGUGAAAGUUUGCGGCUCAACCGUAAAAUUGCAAUUGAUACUGGCAGUCGUGAGUACAGUUGAGGUAGGCGGAAUUCGUGGUGUAGCGGUGAAAUGCUUAGAUAUCACGAAGAACCCCGAUUGCGAAGGCAGCUUACUAAACUGUGACUGACAUUGAUGCUCGAAAGUGUGGGUAUCAAACAGGAUUAGAUACCCUGGGAGUC